rnacentral:rRNA from 1 species
GGGGAAACCCUGAAGCAGCAACGCCGCGUGGAGGAUGACACUUUUCGGAGCGUAAACUCCUUUUGUUAGGGAAGAACCAUGACGGUACCUAACGAAUAAGCACCGGCUAACUCCGUGCCAGCAGCCGCGGUAAUACGGAGGGUGCAAGCGUUACUCGGAAUCACUGGGCGUAAAGGACGCGUAGGCGGAUUAUCAAGUCUUUUGUGAAAUCUAACAGCUUAACUGUUAAACUGCUUGAGAAACUGAUAAUCUAGAGUGAGGGAGAGGCAGAUGGAAUUGGUGGUGUAGGGGUAAAAUCCGUAGAGAUCACCAGGAAUACCCAUUGCGAAGGCGAUCUGCUGGAACUCAACUGACGCUAAUGCGUGAAAGCGUGGGGAGCAAACAGGAUUAGAUACCCUGGUAGUCCACGCCCUAAACGAUGUAUACUAGUUGUUGCUGUGCUAGUCACGGCAGUAAUGCACCUAACGGAUUAAGUAUACCGCCUGGGGAGUACGGUCGCAAGAUUAAAACUCAAAGGAAUAGACGGGGACCCGCACAAGCGGUGGAGCAUGUGGUUUAAUUCGAAGAUACGCGAAGAACCUUACCUGGGCUUGAUAUCCAACUAAUCUCUUAGAGAUAAGAGAGUGCUAGCUUGCUAGAAAGUUGAGACAGGUGCUGCACGGCUGUCGUCAGCUCGUGUCGUGAGAUGUUGGGUUAAGUCCCGCAACGAGCGCAACCCACGUAUUUAGUUGCUAACAGUUCGGCUGAGCACUCUAAAUAGACUGCCUUCGCAAGGAGGAGGAAGGUGUGGACGACGUCAAGUCAUCAUGGCCCUUAUGCCCAGGGCGACACACGUGCUACAAUGGCAUAUACAAUGAGAUGCAAUAUCGCGAGAUGGAGCAAAUCUAUAAAAUAUGUCCCAGUUCGGAUUGGAGUCUGCAACUCGACUCCAUGAAGCCGGAAUCGCUAGUAAUCGUAGAUCAGCCAUGCUACGGUGAAUACGUUCCCGGGUCUUGUACUCACCGCCCGUCACACCAUGGGAGUUGAUUUCACUCGAAGUCGGAAUGCUAAACUAGCUACCGCCCACAGUGGAAUCAGCGACUGGGGUGAAGUCGUAACAAGGUAACCGUAGGAGAACCUGCGGUUGGAUCACCUCCUUU